rnacentral:rRNA from 1 species
CCUACGGGUGGCAGCAGUGGGGAAUAUUGCACAAUGGGCGGAACCCUGAUGCAGCGACGCAGCGUGCGUGAAGAAGUAUCUCGGUAUGUAAAGCUCUAUUUGCAGGGAAGAAAAUUACGUUACCUGACUAAGAAGCUCCGGCUAACUACGUGCCAGCAGCCGCGGUUAUACGGAGGGGGCCAGCGUUAUCCGGAUUUACUGGGUGUAAAGGGAGCGUAGACGGUUAUGCAAGUCUGUAGUGAAAGGCCAAGGCUCAACCAUGGGACUGCUUUGGAAACUGUAAAACUGGAGUGCAGGAGAGGUAAGCGGAAUUCGUAGUGUAGCGGUGAAAUGCGUAGAUAUUAGGAAGAACACCAGUGGCGAAGGCAGCUUACGGGACUGUUACUGACGUUGAAGCUCGAAGGCGUGGGGAGCAAACAGGAUUAGAUACCCGGGUAGUC